UGGGGAAUAUUGGACAAUGGGCGCAAGCCUGAUCCAGCCAUGCCGCGUGAGUGAUGAAGGCCCUAGGGUUGUAAAGCUCUUUCACCGGUGAAGAUAAUGACGGUAACCGGAGAAGAAGCCCCGGCUAACUUCGUGCCAGCAGCCGCGGUAAUACGAAGGGGGCUAGCGUUGUUCGGAUUUACUGGGCGUAAAGCGCACGUAGGCGGAUCGUUAAGUGAGGGGUGAAAUCCCAGGGCUCAACCCUGGAACUGCCUUUCAUACUGGCGAUCUCGAGUCCGGAAGAGGUGAGUGGAACUCCUAGUGUAGAGGUGGAAUUCGUAGAUAUUAGGAAGAACACCAGUGGCGAAGGCGGCUCACUGGUCCGGUACUGACGCUGAGGUGCGAAAGCGUGGGGAGCAAA
rnacentral:rRNA from 1 species